rnacentral:rRNA from 1 species
UACGUAGGGUCCGAGCGUUGUCCGGAAUUAUUGGGCGUAAAGAGCUCGUAGGCGGUCUGUCGCGUCGGCUGUGAAAUCCCGAGGCUCAACCUCGGGUCUGCAGUCGAUACGGGCAAACUAGAGUAUUGCAGGGGAGACUGGAAUUCCUGGUGUAGCGGUGAAAUGCGCAGAUAUCAGGAGGAACACCGGUGGCGAAGGCAGAUCUCUGGGCCGUAACUGACGCUGAGGAGCGAAAGCGUGGGGAGCAAACAGG